rnacentral:rRNA from 1 species
UACGAAGGGGGCUAGCGUUGUUCGGAAUCACUGGGCGUAAAGGGCGCGUAGGCGGCUGUUCAAGUCGGGGGUGAAAGCCUGUGGCUCAACCACAGAAUGGCCUUCGAUACUGGACGGCUCGAGACCGGAAGAGGUCAGUGGAACUGCGAGUGUAGAGGUGAAAUUCGUAGAUAUUCGCAAGAACACCAGUGGCGAAGGCGGCUGACUGGUCCGGUUCUGACGCUGAGGCGCGAGAGCGUGGGGAGCAAACAGG